rnacentral:lncRNA from 1 species
ACGGGCAUACAAGCAGGAAUGAAUUCAUUUUCAUUUGUUUUGUUUAAUUUAUUUUCGCUUUUGAGUUUUGGGAAGGUAAACCAUAUCCAAAAGAUAAUGAAGUAGUUUCUUACAUAAAACACAAAUCUAACCCAUUUUUAUUAUUUACCCAACCCAAAACAAAUUUAUUUUGGUGUCGCAGUCUACAGUCUACUUAGAAAGUAAUUUUAAGUCUAAAAUUAGUUGUAAAUAUCUAGUUUUAAGACGAUUUUGCAGGAGUGUAAAUCCCCCCCCCCCCCCCCCCUUUUUUUUUUUUUUUUUUUUUUUUUUUUUUUUUUUUUUUUUUUUUUUUUUUUUUUUUUUUUUUUUUUUUUUUUUUUUUUUUUUUUUUUUUUUUUUUUUUUUUUUUUUUUUUUUUUUUUUUUUUUUUUUUUUUUUUUUUUUUUUUUUU